rnacentral:rRNA from 1 species
UACGUAGGAUGCAAGCGUUGUCCGGAUUCACUGGGUGUAAAGGGAGCGCAGGCGGGUUAGUAAGUCAGUGGUGAAAUACUUAGGCUUAACCUGAGAAUUGCCACUGAUACUGCUAAUCUUGAGUGCAGGAGAGGUUGGUGGAAGUCUAGGUGUAGCGGUGAAAUGCGUAGAUAUCUAGAAGAACACCGAUGGCGAAGGCAGCCAACUGGCCUGCUACUGACGCUCAUGCUCGAAAGCGUGGGGAGCAAACAGG